rnacentral:rRNA from 1 species
CGUACUGCUCAGUAACACGUAGCUAAUCUACCCUUAGGUGGAGGAUACCCCCGCAAACGUGGGCUCAAUACUCCAUAGAUGAGAGAGGCUGGAAGGCGCUCUUGUCGAAACCUACGGGGCCUAAGGAUGAGGCUGCGGCCGAUUAGCUCGUAGUCGGGGUAAAUGCCCGACCAGGCGAUAAUCGGUGCGGGUCAUGAGAGUGAUAGCCCGGAGAUGCAUUCUGGGACAUGAAUGCAGGCCUUACGGGGCGCAGCAGGCGCGAAACCUUCCCAAUACCAGCAAUGGUGAGGGCGGGGACCCUGAGUGAUGCAGGUUUCCUGCAUCUUUUGCCAAGUGUAAACAGCUUGGAGAAUAAGUGGUGGGCAAGACGGUUGCCAGCC